GCGGGUGUAGCUCAAUGGUAGAGCACUAGCCUUCCAAGCUAGACGUUGAGGGUUCGAGUCCCUUCGCCCGCU
rnacentral:tRNA from 1 species